AUGAACGCUGGCGGCGUGCCUAAUACAUGCCAGUCGAGCGAACGGACGAGAAGCUUGCUUCUCUGAUGUUAGCGGCGGACGGGUGAGUAACACGUGGAUAACCUACCUAUAAGACUGGGAUAACUUCGGGAAACCGGAGCUAAUACCGGAUAAUAUUUUGAACCGCAUGGUUCAAAAGUAAAAGACGGUCUUGCUGUCACUUAUAGAUGGAUCCGCGCUGCAUUAGCUAGUUGGUAAGGUAACGGCUUACCAAGGCAACGAUGCAUAGCCGACCUGAGAGGGGGAUCGGCCACACUGGAACUGAGACACGGUCCAGACUCCUACGGGAGGCAGCAGUAGGGAAUCUUCCGCAAUGGGCGAAAGCCUGACGGAGCAACGCCGCGUGAGUGAUGAAGGUCUUCGGAUCGUAAAACUCUGUUAUUAGGGAAGAACAUAUGUGUAAGUAACUGUGCACAUCUUGACGGUACCUAAUCAGAAAGCCACGGCUAACUACGUG
rnacentral:rRNA from 1 species